AGUGAACGCUGGCGGUAGGCCUAACACAUGCAAGUCGAACGGCAGCACAGUAAGAGCUUGCUCUUACGGUUGGCGGGGGGCGGCGGGGUGGGGAAUACAUCGAAAUCUACUUUUUCGUGGGGAAUAAGGAAGGAAAACUAACGCUAAUACCGCAUAGGACCUACGGGUGAAAGCAGGGGAUCUUCGGACCUUGCGCGAUUGAAUGAGCCGAGGUCGGAUUAGCUAGUUGGGGGGGUAAAGGCCCACCAAGGCGACGAUCCGUAGCUGGUCUGAGAGGAUGAUCAGCCACACUGGAACUGAGACACGGUCCAGACUCCUACGGGAGGCAGCAGUGGGGAAUAUUGGACAAUGGGCGCAAGCCUGAUCCAGCCAUACCGCGUGGGUGAAGAAGGCCUUCGGGUUGUAAAGCCCUUUUGUUGGGAAAGAAAAGCAGCAGGUUAAUACCCCGCUGUUCUGACGGUACCCAAAGAAUAAGCACCGGCUAACUUCGUG
rnacentral:rRNA from 1 species